ACUCCAACCCAGACCAAACGAGGAUCUUGAUUAGCUUGUUCAGGUGUGUUUUAUCAGGGUUGGAGCUAAACUCAGCAGAAAAGUGGACACUGCUACAGUUCAAAACUUCCGGCCGGUCUGUCGCUAUUAAAACUGUUUAAAGACACAGUUGCAGUGCAGCGGUUUUUUAUGUUUACUGUGACGCAUGCGCUGGAUUAAAGUGAUGAUAGCACAAGGUUACAUUUUAGUAAUCAAAUAUUCUAAAGCCAAAAAUGUUACGUGUGUGUUUAACGUUAGGUGUGUUUAAUGCAUAGUUGGUUUACGAAGUGUUAUUUAUGCUUUGUUUUUUUUUAAUCCCCAGAUAACCAUGGUUGAUAAAUGGUCAGUAGAUGACACGUGCCACUGGCUUGAAACUAUAAACCUCAUUGAUGCAAAAGAAAGUUUCAGAGAUUCUGCAUGAAAUGACAAUGAGGUUUGAACCGACUUGGCGAAGAACAUGGAAACAUCUCUGAAUGAAAUGGCCCCAAACAUCAUCAGGAGUGUAAAAGAAGGAAGUCAAAAAAAAAAACAAAAAAACUACGCCAAUCUCAUUGGACUAGCAGAGGAAACCACAGAAGGUCUCGUUAGGAAUGCUGCACUCAUUUUAUUGCCAGCACUAUUUAAAGAAAACGCCAGCUUCCUCUACUGUGUAGAUAGUGUAAGUAUAGUCUUCUGUAGUUUCAUUAAUAUUUGAUGCACUUGACUUGAAUUAAAGGAACUGUUCAUGCAAAUAUAAAAAUAUUAGUCCGUUUACUCACCCUUAUGCCAAAUUUGUAACAAUUAAAAAAAAAAUUACAUUUACCCUAUAAUUUACUCACUCUCUUCCUUAGUCAUAAACUUUGUACUGUUUGCACUGCUUUGCAAUGUCAUUGAAUGGCACCCCAAUUUAAAUCAUAAAAGAAAUCUGUACAACUCCAGGGUUUAAUACUUGUCUUCUAAAGCAAAAUGGUAUGUACAAAUGGUACGUUAGUGAGAUUACAUUUGCCAAGAUAGGUUGCUAUAAUUAGACUAUAAUUACUUAUAAAGCCCUGAAUGGUUUAGCACCUCAGUAUUUGAAUGAGCUCCUUUUACAUUAUACUCCUCUACGUCCGCUACGUUCUCAAAACUCAGACAAUUUGAUAAUACCUAGAAUAUCAAAAUCAACUGCGGGCGGCAGAUCCUUUUCCUAUUUGGCUCCUAAACUCUGGAAUAACCUACCUAACAUUGUUCGGGAGGCAGACACACUCUUGCAGUUUAAAUCUAGAUUAAAGACCCAUCUCUUUAACCUGGCAUACACAUAACAUACUAAUAUGCUUUUAAUAUCCAAAUCCGUUAAAGGAUUUUUAGGCUGCAUUAAUUAGGUAAACCGGAACCGGGAACACUUCACAUAACACCGUACUUUCUACAUCAUUAGAAGAAUGGCAUCUACGCUAAUAUUUGUCUGUUUCUCUCUUGUUCCGAGGUCACCGUGGCCACCAGAUCCAGUCUGUGUCCAGAUCAGAGAGUGACUGCAGUCACCCGGAUCCAGUACGUAUCCAGACCAGAUGGUGGAUCAGCACCUAGAAAGGACCUCUACUGCCCUGAAAGACAGCGGAGACCAGGACAACUAGAGCCCAGAUACAGAUCCCCUGUAAAGACCUUGUCUCAGAGGAGCACCAGGACAAGACCACAGGAAACAGAUGAUUCUUCUGCACAAUCUGACUUUGCUGCAGUCUGGAAUUGAACUACUGGUUUCGUCUGGUCAGAGGAGAACUGACCCCCCAACUGAGCCUGGUUUCUCCCAAGGUUUUUUUCUCCAUUCUGUCACCGAUGGAGUUUCGGUUCCUUGCCGCUGUCGCCUCUGGCUUGCUUAGUUGGGGUCACUUCAUCUACAGCGAUAUCGUUGACUUGAUUGCAAAUAAAAACAGACAUUAUUUCAACUGAACAGAGAUGACAUCAAUGAAUUCAAUGAUGAACUGCCUUUAACUAUCAUUUUGCAUUAUUGAGACACUGUUUUCCAAAUGAAUGUUGUUCAGUGCUUUGACGCAAUGUAUUUUGUUUAAAGCACUAUAUAAAUAAAGGUGAUUGAUUGACUA